rnacentral:rRNA from 1 species
AACGCGAAGAACCUUACCUACUCUUGACAUCCUCGGAACCUGGUAGAGAUAUCGGGGUGCCUUCGGGAACCGGGAGACAGGUGCUGCAUGGCUGUCGUCAGCUCGUGUCGUGAGAUGUUGGGUUAAGUCCCGUAACGAGCGCAACCCUUAUCCUUAGUUGCCAACAGGUAGAGCUGGGAACUCUAAGGAGACUGCCGGUGAUAAGCCGGAGGAAGGUGGGGACGACGUCAAGUCAUCAUGGCCCUUACGAGUAGGGCUACACACGUGCUACAAUGGGCGGUACAAAGGGAAGCGAAGCCGCGAGGUGAAGCGAAUCUCAAGAAAGCCGCUCGUAGUCCGGAUUGGAGUCUGCAACUCGACUCCAUGAAGUUGGAAUCGCUAGUAAUCGCGGAUCAGAACGCCGCGGUGAAUACGUUCCCGGGCCUUGUACACACCGCGCAUA